UCAAUCUCGCCAAUUGCUUCCUGAAUUUGAGAAAGUUCAUACAACUGCGUCUGUUAAAUCUGCCAUUAAAAUAGAUAUAGAAGAUGUGCAAGAUGAAAUUUCGUACUAAGAAUCUUCUGUAAUAUGUUAUGUGAUGGGGGGUAACCUACCUUUCCCUCUAAUGGAUGGAAAUUUGCGUAGAAUUUGGGGUAAGAAACGGGUAGACAAAAUUGUGGCAAAAAACAAAAGAAUCUUCAUUGUGACAUUUCUAAAUAUGGAAUUUAGGGAUAUUAUCUUGAAUGAGGGAUUUCAAUACUUUGAUCAUAAACCCUUGAUUUUUAAAAAAUGGCACCCUGAUAUGAAUCUGAAAAUGAGGAAGUGAAAACCAUUCCAAUAUUGGGGAGAACGUUGUCUCAUCAAAUUGGUCUCAGGCAUAGGUCGCUAGUAGAAAAAGGUCAAUUUGCGUUGCCCCAUUUGCGUCGCACAAACACGGAAACGAUGCAAAUAUACUAUUUACGUCGCAUGCAAUAAUGAAUCGUCGCAUGAAGCCCAUGGUGCGACACAUAUUAUAAGCCCAACCCAACCCAACCCCGUGUUUUAUAUCCUCUAGAAACCCUCAAACCCUAAAAAAAAGUUGCAUCAGUAGCGCCUCUUUCUCAUAAUCCUCUCAUCCUCUCUUUCUCUCUCACCCUCACCCCCUCUCUCUCUCUUACCCUCACCCUCUCUCUCUUAACCGUCUUCGUCAGCGAACAGAAAAUUGAAAAACGAGCGAAAACUCAGUUCAUGCAUCUGAAAUUUCACUCGAAGAAACGAACAAACAAACAAACAAACAAGAUUCUUUAUUGGUAAUUUUUUUUCGAAGAUUCUUGUUUUUGAUGAAGGUACGAUUCAUUCAAAGAAACGAACAAACAAGAUUCUUUACUGGAGUUGGUGAUUUGUCUGCCUUCCUUUCAAGCCAGUUGAAUAGCAAAAAAAUCAUGGUGCAACUUCAAGGAUGCAUAAAAAGUCAAGUAGAUGUGCAGUUAGUAGAGGAUUUUAUGUUACAUCGCAUCUAUAUUUUCCAAUAAGUUAUUUAUGUGCUCUUUUCCACUACAAACUAGUAAUUUUGUUGCUGGUUAUUGUAACCAAAUAGUUUCUUGCACGCUCUUCUGUAAUAUUAAGAUAUAAAUGUUUUCAGUUGAUGA